rnacentral:rRNA from 1 species
GUGCAGGAAGAAAGCCUUCGGGUUGUAAACUGCUUUUAUCUGUGACGAUUUUGACGGUAGCAGAUGAAUAAGGAUCGGCUAACUCCGUGCCAGCAGCCGCGGUCAUACGGAGGAUCCAAGCGUUAUCCGGAAUUACUGGGCGUAAAGAGUUGCGUAGGCGGCAUAGUAAGCAGGCAGUGAAAUCGUGUGGCUCAACCACACAGACAUUGUUUGAACUACUAAGCUAGAGCACGAGAGAGGUAACUGGAAUUCCUAGUGUAGGAGUGAAAUCCGUAGAUAUUAGGAGGAACACCGAUGGCGUAGGCAGGUUACUGGCUCGUUGCUGACGCUCAGGCACGAAAGCGUGGGGAGCGAACGGGAUUAGAUACCCCCGGUAGUCCACGCCGUAAACGAUGGAUGCUAGCUGUUAUCAGUAUCGAUCCUGGUAGUAGCGAAGCUAACGCGUUAAGCAUCCCGCCUGUGGAGUACGGUCGCAAGACUAAAACAUAAAGGAAUUGACGGGGACCCGCACAAGCGGUGGAGCGUGUUGUUUAAUUCGAUGAUAAGCGUAGAACCUUACCAAGGUUUGACAUCUCGGGAAGGUCUCCGAAAGGAGACUGUGCCUUUUGGAACCCGAUGACAGGUGAUGCAUGGCCGUCGUCAGCUCGUGUCGUGAGAUGUAUGGUUAAGUCCAGUAACGAGCGCAACCCUUAUAGUUAGUUGAAUUUCUCUAGCUAGACUGCCCCGGCAACGGGGAGGAAGGAGGGGAUGAUGUCAGGUCAGUAUUUCCCUUACACCUUGGGCGACAAACACGCUACAAUGGCCGGUACAAAGGGCAGCCAAGCAGCAAUGCGGAGCAAAUCCCAUCAAAGCCGGUCUCAGUUCGGAUAGCAGGCUGAAACUCGCCUGCUUGAAGCUGGAAUCGCUAGUAACGGUAGGUCAGCACACUACCGUGAAUACGUUCCCGGGUCUUGUACACACCGCCCGU